CAGGAUCGUAGUUUAAAUAAAACAUCCGCAUUGGAAGCUGAAAAUCAGGUGUAAAUGCCUGCGUCUUGA
rnacentral:tRNA from 1 species